rnacentral:tRNA from 1 species
GCCCGGAUGGUGGAAUUGGUAGACACAAGGGACUUAAAAUCCCUCGGCGGCAACGCUGUGCGGGUCCGAGUCCCGCUCCGGGCACCA